rnacentral:lncRNA from 1 species
AACACAGUUUAUGAGAAAUUAGAUAUUGACGUAUCUCAGGUGUCAAACCUCUUAGAAACAUCCGCAUCAUUCUCUCCUCAUUGUCAACCAAGUGAGACGCAAACCGGGACAACUCGACAAACUUAGCUUCUUACUGCGAUACGGUCAUAUUGUUCUGCUCCAACUUGAUGAACUCUACCUCUUUCAUGUGACGAAUACUUUCGGGAAAAUACUUAUCGUUGAAUAGUUCUUGGAACUUCUUCCAAGACAUCUUCAGUGCGACAGGUUGAGUACGCUUUACCAAUUCCC